GAUGAAGAACGUAGCGAAAUGCGAUGAGUAAUGUGAAUUGCAGAAUUCAGUGAAUCAUCGAAUCUUUGAACGCACAUUGCGCCCGCUAGUAUUCUGGCGGGCAUGCCUGUCCGAGCGUCAUUUCAACCCUCAAGCCCCCGGGCUUGGUGUUGGGGAUCGGCGAGCCUCCGCGCCCGCCGUCCCCUAAAUCUAGUGGCGGUCUCGCUGUAGCUUCCUCUGCGUAGUAGCACACCUCGCACUGGGAAACAGCGCGGCCACGCCGUUAAACCCCCAACUUCUGAACGUUUGACCUCGGAUCAGGUAGGAAUACCCGCUGAACUUAAGCAUAUCAAUAAGCGGAGGA
rnacentral:misc_RNA from 1 species